rnacentral:tRNA from 1 species
GCCGGCGUAGCUCAGAUGGCAGAGCAGCUGAUUCGUAAUCAGCAGGUCAGCGGUUCAAUUCCGCUCGCCGGCUCCA